ensembl:snRNA
GCAAGAAGCAAAAAUAUAGAAAGCUAGAACUUCCCUUGACAAGGACAGAGAAGGCCCGCUUUGCCUUGUAACACAUGCAAGCUUGAGAAUUCUGUUCAACAUUUCAGUGUAAAUUGAGUAUGGGCAAAGAUUUUU